rnacentral:rRNA from 1 species
GACGAACGCUGGCGGCGUGCUUAACACAUGCAAGUCGAACGGAAAGGCCCUGUCUUUGGGGGGCGCUCGGGUGGCGAACGGGUGAGACACACGCGAGUAACCUUCCCUUGACUUUUGGCUACCUUCAGGAAACUGGGGCUCCUAACGGAUCUGCGCCCCUGCUGCAUGGUGGGGGUUGGCAAGUUCGGGCGGUUGGGGAUGGACUCGCGGUCUAUCAGCUUGUUGGUGGGGUGGUGGCUUACCAAGGCUUUGACGGGUAGCCGGCCUGAGAGGGUGACCGGCCACAUUGGGACUGAGACACGGCCCAGACUCCUACGGGAGGCAGCAGUGGGGAAUAUUGCACAAUGGGCGGAAGCCUGAUGCAGCAACGCCGCGUGCGGGAUGACGGCCUUCGGGUUGUAAACCUCUUUCGCCUGUGACGAAGCGAGAGUGACGGUAGUGGGUAAAGAAGCACCGGCUAACUACGUG